GCCAGGCGCGGUGGCUCACGCCUGUAAUCCCAACACUUUGGAGGCUGAGGUGGGUGGAUUACUUGAGGUCAGGAGUUCGAGACCAGCCUGGCCAACAUGGUGAAACCCCAUCUCUA
rnacentral:SRP_RNA from 1 species